ACAGGUGGUGCAUGGCUGUCGUCAGCUCGUGUCGUGAGAUGUUGGGUUAAGUCCCGCAACGAGCGCAACCCUUGUCUUAUGUUGCCAGCACGUAAUGGUGGGGACUCGUAAGAGACUGCCGGGGUCAACUCGGAGGAAGGUGGGGACGACGUCAAGUCAUCAUGCCCCUUAUGUCCAGGGCUUCACACAUGCUACAAUGGCCGGUACAGAGGGCUGCGAUACCGUGAGGUGGAGCGAAUCCCUUAAAGCCGGUCUCAGUUCGGAUCGGGGUCUGCAACUCGACCCCGUGAAGUCGGAGUCGCUAGUAAUCGCAGAUCAGCAACGCUGCGGUGAAUACGUUCCCGGGCCUUGUACACACCGCCCGUCACGUCAUGAAAGUCGGUAACACCCGAAGCCGGUGGCCCAACCUUUGUGGAGGGAGCCGUCGAAGGUGGGAUUGGCGAUUGGACG
rnacentral:rRNA from 1 species